AGAGUUUGAUCCUGGCUCAGAACGAACGCUGGCGGCGUGGCUUAGGCAUGCAAGUCGCACGAGAAAUCCGGGGCAACUCGGAUAGUAAAGUGGCGAAUGGGUGAGUAAUGCAUCGACAACCUGCCUUCGGGAGUGGGAUAACCCUUGGAAACGGGGGCUAAUACCACGUAACAUUCGAGAGGUGCAUAUCUUUCGACUCAACGUACGGGGAUCCGCAAGGACCUGUAGCCCGUUGAGGGGUCGAUGUCCUAUCAGCUAGUUGGUGAGGUAACGGCUCACCAAGGCAAAGACGGGUAGCUGGCCUUAGAGGGUGGUCAGCCACAUUGGGACUGAGACACUGCCCAGACUCCUACGGGAGGCUGCAGUCGAGAAUCUUCGGCAAUGGGGGAAACCCUGACCGAGCGACGCCGCGUGGAGGAUGAAGGCCUUCGGGUUGUAAACUCCUGUCAGGCGUUAUGAAAUAAUCCGUGUGAACAAUGCGGAUUAUUGACAAAGGCGCCAGAGGAAGUCACGGCUAACUCUGUGCCAGCAGCCGCGGUAAGACAGAGGUGACAAGCGUUGUUCGAGAUUACUGGGCAUACAGGGCAUGUAGGCGGCCUGAUCCGUCAGAGGUGAAAUCCCUUGGCUCAACCAAGGAAUUGCCUUUGAUACCAUCAGGCUUGAGGACGAUAGGGGAGAGUGGAACUCCGGGUGGAGCGGUGAAAUGCGUAGAUAUCCGGAAGAACACCGGUGGCGAAGGCGACUCUCUGGUUCGUCCCUGACGCUGAGGUGCGAAAGCCAGGGGAUCAAACGGGAUUAGAUACCCCGGUAGUCCUGGCCGUAAACGAUGGGCACUACGUAGAAGUGGGACCGAUCCCAUUUCUGCCGAAGCGAAUGUAUUAAGUGCCCCGCCUGGGGAGUACGGUCGCAAGAUUAAAACUCAAAGGAAUUGACGGGGGCUCGCACAAGCGGUGGAGCAUGUGGUUUAAUUCGAUGCAACGCGAAGAACCUUAUCCAGGGCUUGAAAGGCCGGUAGUAGAAACCUGAAAGGGGGACGAACCGUAAAGUCGGUUGCCGGUACAGGUCCUGCAUGGCUGUCGUCAGCUCGUGCCGUGAGGUGUCGGGUUAAGUCCUCUAACGAGCGAAACUCCUGCCCCUAGUUGCCAGCGGGUCAUGCCGGGAACUCUAGGGGGACUGCCUCGUUCAACGGGGAGGAAGGUGGGAAUGACGUCAAGUCCUCAUGGCCCUUAUGUCCUGGGCUACACACGUGCCACAAUGGACGGUAUAAAGGGAAGCGAGACCGCGGGGUGGAGCAAAUCCCAAAAAGCCGUUCUCAGUUCGGAUUGGAGGCUGCAACCCGCCUCCAUGAAGCUGGAAUCGCUAGUAAUUGCAGGUCAGCUACACUGCGGUGAAUGUGUUCCCGAGCCUUGUACACACCGCCCGUCAAGUCACGAAAGCUGUUAGUACCCGAAGUCGCUUAUCCAACCCGCAAGGGGAGAUGGCGCCGAAGGUAAGAACAGUGAUUGGGACUAAGUCGUAACAAGGUA
rnacentral:rRNA from 1 species